CGAAACUGCAAAGAGGAAAAAUUAGACUUAAAUUACACCUUUCAAAACUCUCACUUUCACACAAUGCAUCCAGUGAUGACAAGUGUAUCAAGUUGUUCUCAGUGAAUUGUUAUACCAGUUUCUGUAGUUGCCAACUGAUUUUGAAUUAUCAGGAGUAGUGCAAUGAACUUACUGGCUCACUACUGGGUACUUUUCUUCCUUAUGUACCCCACACACUCAAAUGAGCUGGAGGGGAACAACUAGCCGCUAUUACUCAGUUAAAUAUGUUGCCAUUAGAGGGCUCCAUAAUCCCUAGAGAACAGGAAAAGGAGGGAACAGGGAACUGGACUCAGGAAAGACUGGGAGCUAACUGGAGAGGAGUCAUGCAAGUAAGGGCAGUAGGCCAGGCACAAUAGCCUAGGAACUGGCUAUGGAGAGGGGGCAAGGCAGCCUGCAAUGCUUGUCUCUUAGCUCUUUUUUACAGAGUACAGUACAGCCCCUCUGGAGGGGAGGUGGUGUACCACAGCACUCACAGAGCCACCCUGUGUUGGGGUUGGUUACUGUGCAUAUGAGCAUAUGUUGCUUUAGAAUCGUUUUAAUAUUUUUUUUUCCAUGAACUCAAUAGUGGCAACUUCAAAUAUUCAACAAUCAUCAGUCAGGUACCCCAAAAAUCAUGCAUUUGGCUUAAUCAAAAUUUUGGAUCCUCUAGAGUUCAUAAUGGUAAGUUUUUUACUCUACAAUCAUUUUAAAAAAAAAUCUGAAUUUCUCCUGUGAUUUGUGUGGCUCCAGAAACUGGAACUUUAUUAAACACCAAAUUUUAUGGACUUGCAAUAGCAUCCCCAUGGUUGGCAACAAUGAACUAAUUACCUUUUGAGUAAAAAUAGUAGUGGGAAGGAAAACUAUUAAAUGCUUCCCCCCCAUUAAUUGAUUUAGAUCUGGGAUGUGAUCUGCACUCAUCUGUCCGAUUUUAACCACAAUCACUUAUGAUACAUGUGAACUUACUUUACAGAUAUGUAGUGUAAGAUACUCUGUGGCAACUCUCCUGAUUAAAUAGAAUCAGGUUAGAAUUUAACUGUGUUAAAUGUGGCAAAUAUGGUUUUACUUUCACCAUGAGAACAUGUGUACAGUACUUUCAAAUCUUCACAAACCUGAGAAACUCAAAGUGAACUUGAUCCCCGAGAUAACUCGCCAGUUUAACACAAAAAUUAAUUUGGCAACAUCUUGAAGGGGAUCUAAAGAAAUCCCUGGAAUCGUGUUUGGGCAUUCCCACAAAAACCAUGCUCUGAAAAAGCCCCAGCAUUCCCGCUUCAACUUCAGGAUAUGGGUGGGAGGGAAACCCCUCCGCGUUCUUAGGAGCUACCCUCUGCAAUCAUUUCCCCAUCUUUGUGAAUACUGGGGAAUACUGCCUGGUAGACAGCCUGCUUCCAAUGAUCCCUAGGCCUCUGCUGACAGCUCCUGGAGACCCAGCCCCAAUUCAGGGGCUGGGAAGCCAUCUGCUGCAGAGUGGGGUGAGUGAGCCUAACAGUACCUGGAAAUGUGACUCCAACCUGGCUCUCUGCUAUGGGGCUGCUCACACUGGAACCCCAGCAGAUCUCCAAUGGAAACAUGCCUGUGUUUUGGCAAAUGUUUUGUCUUGUCUGCAAUAAAGUCUACCAAACAUUUUGGGCUAGAAAAUUGGCAUUUUCCAAUGAAACUUAGUUAUGUUUUGUCAGAAAACUUCCCACCAGCUCUAGGCAUUAUGUCUGGGAUGAAUUAAGCCCAUGUAGAGGUAUCAACCCUACAGAAUGUCACUCAGUUGAUGGGUCCCCAUGAGCUUCAGUGGUUUAUGUGGUUGCUAUUCUAUUGUACUAGGAAUCAGUUUGUGAUCUGGGGAUUGAGUCAGAUCUGCUACAUCAAAAUCACUCAGUUCCAAAUGUUCUUUAUGUACAUGACUGCAAAGCCCAAGUGGGAGAUCCUGGAAAACUUCAUCUCUAAAAGUGUUCAGGUUUGAAAACUGGACUCCAUAUCCACUAUAAUCCUCACAGCUGUGCCAUAUGCUUCCUUUGACUGCUCAGAACGUGGCCAUAGCAAUAGGCCAUGAUCCCAACAGGUGCCACUAGGCAACCAAGAAAGAAAAAGAGCACAAAGGAGGCAUCACUGGGGUUUUUUGACUGCCAGUCCACUGAACAACCUAGUCCAUGUAUCUCCA